CAAUAUACAUUCACUCAUCUAUGUUGAAAAUAAUUCAAUUUCAGAUGGAUUAAACUUACAUCAUUGAAAAAUGUUUAUUAUUAUAUGAUUUUAAUUUUUUACCCAUCAAAAUAUUUUUUAUAAAAUUAUUUUUAAGAUCUACUAAACGAGAAGACUUACAAAGAAGUCAUAGAGAAGACUUACAAAGAAGUCAUUAUAGAUAAGACUUACAAAGAAGUCUUCUCCAACGGAGGAUUAUAAUGGUAAAAUUGAAAACAGGUUUUUUGUUUGUUCAUAAGGGGACUGUUGUAAUUUCACUAGGCUUUUAGGUUACUUUUGCAUUUGAUUGAAUUUGUGGUACACUUUUGUAUUCAAAAUCAAGUUUUGAGUCAUUUUUGGCAAAUCCCCCAUAUUUAUUUUUAGAUCUUAUCCGAGAUUUGUUUUUGAAUUUAACUGUAAUAUAAAGUUUUCUAAAGCAUUAGAUUUUGACUUUAUAUCUUUGAUCUCUUAACAACUUAAACAAUAUGCACUUUAUUAGGAACUAGAUUAUGAUCCGCGCCUUGCGUGAGAUAAACAUUAUAU
rnacentral:lncRNA from 1 species